rnacentral:rRNA from 1 species
GACGGAGGAUGCAAGUGUUAUCCGGAAUCACUGGGCGUAAAGCGUCUGUAGGUGGUUCGAAAAGUCCACUGUUAAAAAUUGAGGCUUAACUUCAAAGAUGCCGUGGAAACUUUCAAACUAGAGUAUGGUAGGGGUAGAGGGAAUUUCCAGUGGAGCGGUGAAAUGCGUAGAUAUUGGAAAGACCACCGAUGGCGAAGGCACUCUACUGGGCCACUACUGACACUGAGGAGCGAAAGCGUGGGGAGCGAACAGG